CCUACGGGUGGCAGCAGUGGGGAAUAUUGCGCAAUGGGCGAAAGCCUGACGCAGCGACGCCGCGUGAGGUAUGAAGGUCUUCGGAUCGUAAACCUCUGUCAGCAGGGAAGAACGGUCACUGUGCUAAUCAGCAGUGACUUGACGGUACCUGCAAAGGAAGCACCGGCUAACUCCGUGCCAGCAGCCGCGGUAAUACGGAGGGUGCGAGCUUUAAUCGGAAUUACUGGGCGUAAGGCGCUCGUAGGCGGUAUGUCAAGUCAAGGGUGAAAUCCCCGCGCUCAACGUGGGAACUGCCUUUGAAACUGGCAAACUGGAGUGUGUGAGAGGAUAGUGGAAUUCCAGGUGUAGGAGUGAAAUCCGUAGAUAUCUGGAGGAACAUCAGUGGCGAAGGCGACUAUCUGGCACAUAACUGACGCUGAGGAGCGAAAGCGUGGGUAGCAAACAGGAUUAGAUACCCGAGUAGU
rnacentral:rRNA from 1 species